AAAUCCUUUGGAAAUAUUUCAUGGUACAAUUCAUUUUUCUUGAUUUUUGAGUUUAGCAUCUAUAUAUGAUUCUUGAUAAUCCUACCCUUAACCCAUGAGCAUCACUUCGAUGACUUUGGCAUUAAAGACGGUGAUCAUGUUUGUAGUCGCCUCCUAUUGUAAUGCGUCAUUGAGUAUGUUAUUGUUUUAUCUUUUGAAUUGUCAUGUGGUAGAAUAGAGCUUGUCUAGCUAAUUUCUCUAAUCAGGCUUAUGUAGAUUGUUAUAG
rnacentral:lncRNA from 1 species